rnacentral:rRNA from 1 species
CUCGGUGACGCCACAUGCCUUAGAAUAAACCCAGAAAAAUCAUCCAUCGCUCUGAUACGCUGCGAGGGCCUAAACCUGCAAAAUGUGCUUCAAAGUUUUAGAGGAAGAAUUGUAGGUUUCCCCAUGACCUAUUUAGGCCUUCCUAUCACCAUCUCCAGACUGCGCCUAGUCCACCUUCAGUUCAUCCUGGACUGGGUUCGUGCGCGCCUCGCUGGCUGGAAAGGCCGCCUGUUAUCCACCGCCGACCGGAGGGUUUUGGUUAGAUGUGUCCUAACUGCCUUGCCAAUGUAUGCGAUCACUGUCCUCAGGGCGCCAAUCAAGUUUUCAAAGAUGUAG